UCUCCACCUGCCUCAUCACAGGCAAACCAGUCCAGCAAUCCACCACGAGAAGAUUGUAUUCUUAUUGGCCCCUGGUCCAAAAAAGAGUGAAAUAUAUGUGAAGUCGACUUGAAUCCAUCCUACAUCUGGAGCAGUCACCCAGGUGAGUCAGGCGAGAACAGUUGAGCUAUUCUCAUAGUCAUCCACAGACCUAUGAGUGAGAAAUAGACGUUUGUUGUUUUGAGCCACUGAGUUUUGAGAUAUUUGUUACGCAGCAUUGUUAUAGCAAUGUCUAACUGAUACAAGACCUCAGCCCUAAGAGAUUCUAAUUCAGCUGGUUUGGGUUAAGGUUCAGUGUUAUGGCCUGGUUGUUUGUGUC
rnacentral:lncRNA from 1 species